rnacentral:rRNA from 1 species
CCUACGGGAGGCAGCAGUGAGGAAUAUUGGUCAAUGGACGCAAGUCUGAACCAGCCAUGCCGCGUGCAGGAAGACGGCUCUAUGAGUUGUAAACUGCUUUUGUACGAGGGUAAACGCAGAUACGCGUAUCUGUCUGAAAGUAUCGUACGAAUAAGGAUCGGCUAACUCCGUGCCAGCAGCCGCGGUAAUACGGAGGAUUCAAGCGUUAUCCGGAUUUAUUGGGUUUAAAGGGUGCGUAGGCGGUCGGAUAAGUUAGAGGUGAAAUCCCGAGGCUCAACUUCGGAAUUGCCUCUGAUACUGGUCGGCUAGAGAGUAGUUGCGGUAGGCGGAAUGUAUGGUGUAGCGGUGAAAUGCUUAGAGAUCAUACAGAACACCGAUUGCGAAGGCAGCUUACCAAGCUACUUCUGACGUUGAGGCACGAAAGCGUGGGGAGCGAACAGGAUUAGAUACCCGUGUAGUC